AACGAACGCUGGCGGCAGGCCUAACACAUGCAAGUCGAGCGAGGACUUCGGUCCUAGCGGCGGACGGGUGAGUAACGCGUGGGAACGUGCCCUUUGCUUCGGAAUAGCCCUGGGAAACUUGGAUUAAUACCGGUUGAGCCCUUUGGGGGAAAGAUUUACUGGCGAAGGAUCGGCCCGCGUUGGAUUCGGUGGUUGGUGGGGUAAUGGCCUCCCAUGCCGACGAUCCAUAGCUGGUUGGUGAGGAUGAUAAUCCACACUGGGACUGAGGCACGGCCCAGACUCCUACGGGGGGCAGGAGUGGGGAAUAUUAGACGAUGGGGGAAGCCCUAGUAUAGCCAUGCCGGGUAAGCGAUGAAGGCCUUAGGGUUGUAAAGCUCUUUCAGCUGGGAAGAUAAUGACGGUACCAGCAGAAGAAGCCCCGGCUAACUCCGUG
rnacentral:rRNA from 1 species